rnacentral:rRNA from 1 species
AACGAACGCUGGCGGCAUGCCUAACACAUGCAAGUCGAACGAGACCUUCGGGUCUAGUGGCGCACGGGUGCGUAACGCGUGGGAACCUGCCCUUAGGUUCGGAAUAACUCCCCGAAAGGGGUGCUAAUACCGGAUAAUGUCUUCGGACCAAAGAUUUAUCGCCUUUGGAUGGGCCCGCGUUGGAUUAGCUAGUUGGUAGGGUAAAAGCCUACCAAGGCGACGAUCCAUAGCUGGUCUGAGAGGAUGAUCAGCCACACUGGGACUGAGACACGGCCCAGACUCCGACGGGAGGUAGCAGUGGGGAAUAUUGGACAAUGGGCGAAAGCCUGAUCCAGCAAUGCCGCGUGAGUGAUGAAGGCCUUAGGGUGGUAAAGCUCUUUUACCCGGGAUGAUAAUGACAGUACCGGGAGAAUAAGCUCCGGCUAACUCCGU